GACGGACGCUGGCGGCGUGCUUAACACAUGCAAGUCGAACGGAAAGGCCCUGCUUUUGUGGGGUGCUCGAGUGGCGAACGGGUGAGUAACACGUGAGUAACCUGCCCUUGACUUUGGGAUAACUUCAGGAAACUGGGGCUAAUACCGGAUAGGAGCUCCUGCUGCAUGGUGGGGGUUGGAAAGUUUCGGCGGUUGGGGAUGGACUCGCGGCUUAUCAGCUUGUUGGUGGGGUAGUGGCUUACCAAGGCUUUGACGGGUAGCCGGCCUGAGAGGGUGACCGGCCACAUUGGGACUGAGAGACGGCCCAGACUCCAACGGGAGGCAGCAGUGGGGAAUAUUGCACAAUGGGCGGAAGCCUGAUGCAGAAACGCCGCGUGCGGGAUGACGGCCUUCGGGUUGUAAACCGCUUUCGCCUGUGACGAAGCGUGAGUGACGGUAAUGGGUAAAGAAGCACCGGCUAACUACGUG
rnacentral:rRNA from 1 species